UAUAGAAGAGUAGAAGACGGUUGUGAGAGUCCUUUCCCUUGGCUGCCUCUGUGUCUUGUCCAUUCCAUGGCUCCGGCCAGCAAAGAGCCGGAUUCUUCCUAUCCCCUACCAAACCCCACCACCACGAGCGGCUGCCGCGCGGGAGACCAGGACGCAUGGUGACUGCCUCCUCCUUCACUGCCAUCUUCUUCAGAAGUGCCUUCGUCGCCUGCUUCGCGGAGCCAAAGUGCAGAUCCAGCUGCAAAGGAAGGCACCAUUAACGCCACCACCUGUGGCUGCAACAGCCACAACUGCUGCUGGUGGAGGGACACUAGCCACAAUAACGUGCAUCGCCAGAGAGGAAGGGGUUGCCACGCUCUAGAAGGGCAUCAUCCUUGGCCCCCACUGUCAGUUCCUCUAUGAUGGCCUCCACAUCGGCCUGUAUGAUCCUGUGAAGGCUUUCUUCGUCAGAGGUGCUGUUGUGGGUGAUGUCAGUUUACUAAGCAAGAUUCUUGCUGCGCUUGCCACAGGUGUGAUAGCUAUUGUUGUGGCAAAUCCAACUGAUCUCGUUAAUGUUAGGUUGCAAGUUGAUGGAAAGGCUAACACUGUCAAGAGGAGUUAUUCUAGAGCCCUUAAUGUAUAUGCUAUAAUAAUCAGACAUGUUACUUUAACCAUCAUGGGCAGUAAGUGUACAAGACUAUUUCUUUUUUCGUUGUCCUUAAAAUCUUUCAUGUUUCCAAGAAGGUAUUGGAGCUUUGUGGACUGGCCUUGGCCCAAAUGUCGCACGCAAUGUCAUAAUUAACGCUGCCGAGUUGGACAACUAUGAUUAGUUCAAACAUGUACCUGUUGACUCUAAUGUCUUUGUGGUGCGCAUUAUAUUUCAUUAUCAUUAUUCAUUCCUUUGUUCUGUUCAUGUAGAUGUUUCUAAAACUUCCUAGGUAUACUGAUAACGUUUUACCCAUAUUUUAGCUGGACUUGGUGCUCAUUUUUUUACUAUUUGCAUUGGCUCUCCGAUGGAUGCAAAUAAGCUUUGACUAAAUAUCUUACUAGCAGUUCACAAGGUUCAACAA